GAUGGCUGCAAUAAGCAGCAGACCAAACUGGAUGGAAGAAACUAGUUGGAGUUAGCUGUGCAAUGGGCCCCGGAGGCCCACAUAUCAAAAUGCCCUGAUAUGGCUUUCUGGCCACCCAUUUUCAAACAUUUCUAUUUUUUAUGGCAUGUACUUGGAAGAGACCUGGAAGGGCUGAACACUUUGAGGGACCCUGCUUCAAAGUAUAACCUUACUACAGUUGUAAACAUCUUUUGAAGCAAAUCCCACUAAACAGACAACAUGUAUCUGGAGAGAAUAUUCUUGGAAAAUUGGAAUUAGACCACUUGUGCCAUGGCAGCAGUGAGCAGAACCUGUAGAAGCUAAGCAGGUUGGGGUCCAUGACAGCACCAGCAAUGAAAUGGUCGUUCUGUUAGGGAGAAGCUGCCUGCUGGUCUCAGCUGGAAACUGAUGCUGUUUCACUAUCAAUGUCAAGAAUAGGACAGUGUCCUAGCAGCAAGUAAUGGUCAAAUGAUAUUGGAAGAGGAAGAAAAGAGACUCAGACCUGUAAGAUUCACAGCCUCCAUUCCUAAGAGAAAGGAAAGAAAGCAGCAGAGGUUGGUGAUUUUCUCCUAAAGGCCUCAUCUGUCUGCUGCAGCUGACAUCCUAGAGUAUGCUGCUUCCAGAGAACUCAGCUUUUACAAAUUACUAUAAAGUGGAUGCUUUUCAUCUCUCACAGUGAUCGCGA